rnacentral:rRNA from 1 species
CCUACGGGUGGCAGCAGUGGGGAAUAUUGCACAAUGGGGGAAACCCUGAUGCAGCGACGCCGCGUGAGUGAAGAAGUAAUUCGUUAUGUAAAGCUCUAUCAGCAGGGGAGAAAAUGACGGUACCUGAGUAAGAAGCUCCGGCUAACUACGUGCCAGCAGCAGCGGUAAUACGUAGGGGGCAAGCGUUAUCCGGAUUUACUGGGUGUAAAGGGAGCGUAGACGGCAGUGCAAGUCUGGAGUGAAAGGCGGGGGCUCAACCCCCGGACUGCUCUGGAAACUGUAAGGCUGGAGUGCAGGAGAGGUAAGUGGAAUUCGUGGUGUAGCGGUGAAAUGCGUAGAUAUUAGGAAGAACUCCGAUGGCGAAGGCAGCUUACUGGACUGUAACUGACGUUGAGGCUCGAAAGCGUGGGGAGCAAACAGGAUUAGAUACCCUUGUAGUC